UACGAAGGGUGCUAGCGUUGUUCGGAAUUACUGGGCGUAAAGCGCGCGUAGGCGGCUUUUCAAGUCAGGGGUGAAAUCCCACAGCUCAACUGUGGAACUGCCUUUGAAACUGUAAAGCUUGAGUGUCGGAGGGGAUAGCGGAAUUGCUAAUGUAGAGGUGAAAUUCGUAGAUAUUAGCAGGAACACCGGUGGCGAAGGCGGCUAUCUGGACGACAACUGACGCUGAGGCGCGAAAGCGCGGGGAUCAAACAGG
rnacentral:rRNA from 1 species